CCCUUAGAUGUUCUGGGCCGCACGCGUGCUACACUGAGUGGAUCAGCGGGUCAGGUUGCGCGAAAGCGUUUCCUAAUCUUUAAAUCCGCUCGUGAUGGGGAUUGACGGUUGCAAUUUUCUGUCAUGAACGAGGAAUACCUUGUAAGCGCGGGUCAUCAUCCCGCGCUGAAUACGUCCCUGCCCUUUGUACACACCGCCCGUCGCCCCUACCGAUUGAAUGUUCCGGUGAGCUCUUCGGACUGCGCGGUCUGCAGUUUCUGCGUUCCGUGCGGAAAGUUGCGCAAACCUUAACAUUUAGAGGAAGGAGAAGUCGUAACA
rnacentral:rRNA from 1 species